ensembl:lncRNA
GUUUUUUAGUGACUAAUUGGCAGUAAGCUUGGAGAGAAUAAAUCCUGUUUUUUGAGUACUGAGAUUGGAUGGACAUGGUAUCUUUUAAGUUUAAAAAGGAGGUUCUAACGCACCCUCAGCCAUCAGAUAUGCAUGUUCUGUUUCUUCAUUACUGCAGCUGCUCUCCAAGGUUCUCCUUUGGGAUGGGACUGUACAGGAAGACACAGUCCGUGGUGUGGGACUGAGCAAGCUGCUGAAUCGUUACCUUCUUCUGAACCUCUUCAACACACCACCAGGGCCAGAAAACAUAGAGAAGUGUAAAGAGGUGGUUGCAUGCUUCCCAGAAAGGUGGUUCCAAAAUCUUGGAAGUGGGUCAACUCUCCCUGAGUUCAGUGAACUUCUGCCAGCAUUUGGUUCAGUGAGCACGUAUGCUUCACAGGAAUAACCACAGUGAUGAAACUGAAGUUGUUGUUCUCCUGUUGGUGAAAGUCAAGGCUCUGAAUAUUGCUGAAGAGCUCAUUGAAGAGUGCAAACUGGAACAUCUUAAAUCUGUGAUCAGGAAAUAAGGAUUUCUUUGAAGCAGCAGUUCUUUUACUGAAACAAGCCUGAUGCUCACUCUAAAAAAGUGGGAAUGUUGAAUGAGUGGACUGCCUACAGUUGUUUUACUGUGAAAUAUUUUGGUUUUUUUUCCAAAUGUCUUCUGAUGCCAUCUACUCCUAGAUAAAAUCACAAUCGUCAGUGUAAAGUGAAGGUGUUCUGAAAUAUAUGACAAAGCCUCAUUGCUUUGUUCUUUUGGGAAGGAUGACUGCAGUAAGUGCCUGUAAUGUUACCACUGCUAGUGAGCAGACAACUUCAGAAGCUGUUUUCAGUACCACACCAAAUCACUCUGACUCAGGAGUCACUGAACUCUAACUUAUUGUCCACUUAAUGAGAUAACUCUACCAAACUCGCAGUGAGUUCUUCUCACUUAGAAAGCUUGUCAUAGCUUUUUGAUCCUGACACAGAAGCAGGAAUUCUGUGUGCAGUGAGAAGUUUGAUCUGUGAACAUCUACUGAUGGUAAGUGGGUGUUCAGGAAGGCAAGAAGUUGCAAAGGAGAAUGUCUUAACUACGCUUACUCUUCUCCAGAGUAUGAUUUGUAGUGGAGCUUUGUACUUGAGAUAUACACUGGACUUUGUGCACAGACUUGGAGUUGUCACACACCCUCAUCUAUCAGACAAGCAGAACAACAACUCCAGUUACCUUCUAGUAAUUGGCUCUCUAAGGACAUUUUACUUUUGCUUCCCUGUGAGACCCAUUAAACCUCAUUUCACUGUACCCAUGUUAGAUUUCUAAUGUUGUGUAACUUUGUAUAUGUGCAGUAAAUAUUACUGCUGCAGAAUAAAAAGGAUGUUUUAUUGUAGAAAUAGCAGUGCGUCACAAAUUCUGCUAAAGUUUGCUAUUGCCUGUUUCUCUAAAAUGUUAUGGGUCUUCCAUUUAACUCUUGGAGGCUUUUAUUCCCUAUGAUUUUUCUCUUUUUUUAUUACAGAAUAUAUAUUUUUGUGAACUAUUUUAAUUGUAAAUAGCAUUCAUCAGUGUUAUAGACAAAAAUGACUUCUAAAAUAAAAGCAAAGCAAUUAUUUUGAAAAGUAAAGAUAUUUUUGUGUUAAUGAGACUUCAAACACUUUCAAGUCUUGAACAUGACAAGGAAUGUUAUGUGAAGUAUGGAAAAAAAACUUUGGCACUGCUGGCACUUCAUUAUCUGCAGGAUUUAGGAGUUCUGUUGUAAGUAAUUGUGCACUUCUACUUUCCUGAGUGCAAAGAAAAUACAACUGAUCAGUAAUUAGCUGAAGCAUGUGAUCUCCGUGC